AGCAGUGUUGCAUAAUGGUUUGAGUGCUGGACUACAAUUCUGGAGGCUGGGGUUUGAUUCCCAGCUCAGCUA